ACAUGCUAUUACUCUCUCAUCAAAACAGAGCAGGACCAAAACUUACGGACAUUUGCAUUUUGUGUUUUAUACACACGAAUCCAACUGGGAUGCAGUUCAUCUCCUUCCAUCUGCUUAGCACUUUGGGUGUCAAACAGAAGCUGGAGGAGGGGCAGCUUGGUGACAGGUUUUCUCGGGAGUGCAAACAAUGUCUGUGAGAAAGUGACGAUAUGAGUUUAUGGGAGAUAAACAUGGGUGGGAACCAACAUUAGCACCACGGACAGAUGAACAAUAACAGAUGAACAGAUGCCAUCACACGUGCCCUGAACGUCUGCCAUGAGGACACAAUUAGGUUUAAGGGGUGGGGUCCCUUCCCCAGCGGUGUGCUGCCGACAUGUACUACUGCUGGCCUGUCGUGGAUAUGCUAUUCAUGUUGAACACACUCAUUAUUGGCAGAGCACCAUGAAGCUGUCGGUAGUCACUGGAUUUAUGAACAUCCGCCUUCAGUGCCUCACUUUAACAAGGCUUAAUUAAAUCAAAGAUGACAGAACCCCUGUUGAUAGAUUUGGACUGGUGCAUCCAAUUGCUUCCAUAAGUGCUACCAAAUUUGGAUGAAGAGUUAGAGACCAAAUUUCUCAAAGUCGGGAGCUCUUUUCAAUAGAGCAAUUUUCACCUUUAAUGAAGAGGAAAAUGUAGGUGAGAAAGCCAUUUCUGAGGUGUGAUGACUGAAUCAUAGCUGACAUUUUCUCGUUUACUUGAUAGAGAACUCAGACUGCCAGAAGUCAAAGAAUCUAAAAUGAACUGUGGUUUGUUUCCUUGUUGUUGCAUGAUGAUGUCAUUUUAAAAUGUUACAGUCCUUGCUACAUGAACCAUAGUGGACUUUGUUUAUGCACAAUGAAGGCGUGUGGUUAGCACAAGCAGCUUUUAUAUGUGAUGACAAUUCUCUCACCUUCAUGCUCAGCUGUUAACUAGAAACGGGCAGCCAGCUGGCCAAUAUUUUUACUGUAAUACAUGCAGUGUUGGUUUACUCUCAUUUGAAACUUGUCAUUGCACUCAAUUCAACUUACAUUUUAAUAGGAAGUAUAUUACAAUUGCUGCGAACCUUUUGCUAUAUGGUUAAAUGUCAGGAUAUUACAGCAGCAAAUCUUCACACUCUGCUGUAUGUAAACCAGUUCAGCACAAUAAGUGUUGAUAGGAAUAUAUGGCACAGAAAUGGAUAUUAUAUUGAUUUUGACACAACAAUUUAUCUUGUUUUAAGGAGAAGAAGAAAAUCUGAAUUAAACUUGGGGCCAUUGUCCUGAUCACAAUUUCAUGAAAGAUUUCCAAUCAAACUGUAUCAGUCUGGGCCAAACCCUCUCCUAUACACUGUGAAAAGCAUAUCCCCCUAAACACAGAGUCAGCUAUAAUGAAUACUGCUUAUUGCUACUGGGCUGUGAAAUGAACAGCUCUUUUGUGAUGAUGGGGACCUAUAAAAAACAAAAUUCCUCAGGCUUCAAAAUGAUCCAUCGACUGCUGCUGUAAAAAGAACUGUUCUCAUUUGUUGUCAAAUUCAUGCUGCACUGAACCAUAAUAGACAAAUCAUAUCCAACACUGAAUCAAUUUUGAUCCAAUGGCUAAGUGGUUGCACGUAGUUGAAAUCUUAUGAUGAAAAUCUGUGCCUGAAAGUGUUCAAACCGGGACGCUCUAUAAUCUCACUGCAAAGCAGAGCUGACAAACACUAAACACAGUUUCAAUGACAUUGACAUGAUGCUUCCGAAGCUUAUGAUAAUCAGAAACAGAAACACAUAGAAACGGAUAGCUGCAAAUAAACAGAUGAACUGUAACUCUUGGUAACCA
rnacentral:lncRNA from 1 species